rnacentral:rRNA from 1 species
ACACAUGCAAGUCGAACGGUAACAGGAAGCAGCUUGCUGCUUYGCUGACGAGUGGCGGACGGGUGAGUAAUGUCUGGGAAACUGCCUGAUGGAGGGGGAUAACUACUGGAAACGGUAGCUAAUACCGCAUAACGUCGCAAGACCAAAGAGGGGGACCUUCGGGCCUCUUGCCAUCGGAUGUGCCCAGAUGGGAUUAGCUAGUAGGUGGGGUAACGGCUCACCUAGGCGACGAUCCCUAGCUGGUCUGAGAGGAUGACCAGCCACACUGGAACUGAGACACGGUCCAGACUCCUACGGGAGGCAGCAGUGGGGAAUAUUGCACAAUGGGCGCAAGCCUGAUGCAGCCAUGCCGCGUGUAUGAAGAAGGCCUUCGGGUUGUAAAGUACUUUCAGCGGGGAGGAAGGCGAUAAGGUUAAUAACCUUGUCGAUUGACGUUACCCGCAGAAGAAGCACCGGCUAACUCCGUGCCAGCAGCCGCGGUAAUACGGAGGGUGCAAGCGUUAAUCGGAAUUACUGGGCGUAAAGCGCACGCAGGCGGUCUGUCAAGUCGGAUGUGAAAUCCCCGGGCUCAACCUGGGAACUGCAUUCGAAACUGGCAGGCUAGAGUCUUGUAGAGGGGGGUAGAAUUCCAGGUGUAGCGGUGAAAUGCGUAGAGAUCUGGAGGAAUACCGGUGGCGAAGGCGGGCCCCCUGGACAAAGACUGACGCUCAGG